AGGGCACCACCAGGAGUGGAGCUUGCGGCUUAAUUUGACUCAACACGGGAAAUCUCACCCGGCCAGUACAUCGUAAGGAUUGACAGAUUGAAAGCUCUUUCAUGAUUCGGUGAAUGGUGGUGCAUGGCCGUUCUUAGUUCGUGGCGUGAGUCGUCUGCUUAAUUGCGAUAACGAGCGAGACUCCGAUUGUUAAAUAGCGCGGGGAUUGGCUUGCCCGUCCGCGUCGCUUCUUAACGAGAUUGGGCGCUUCAAGCGCCAAGAGAUGGAGCAAUAACAGGUCUGUGAUGCCCUUAGAUGUUCGGGGCUGCACGCGUGCUACAAUAGUAGCAACAACGGGAUUGUCCUCCUCCGAUAGGAGUUGGCAAACCGGUGAGAUGUUAUUAUGGCUGGAAUUGAGUGUUGAAAUUUUCUCUCAUGAACGAGGAAUUCCAAGUAAGCGCGAGUCAUAAGCUCGCGUUGAUUACGUCCCUGCCCUUUGUACACACCGCCCGUCGCUACUACCGAUUGAAUGAUUUAGUG
rnacentral:rRNA from 1 species